AUGGCCUCCUCUCCCACCACCAACCACACCCCCUCUGAUCCCUCCCCAGCCACCAACUCCCCCACCCCUCCCCACCGUCCUAGCUCCCCUGCCGAUCCAGAUCGAGAGCUGCUGACUGCCGGUGCUGAGGAUGAAGACGGGGACUCUCGCGCGCACUCCGAGGGUUGCCUUGGGAUCCUCCCUCCGCUCAAGCUGCCACCACCUCCAGAUCGGCUCCCCCCGAACUUCACGCCGCCGGUGGUGACCGACGCAUCGCAGGCAUCUACGGAGAAGGGGUGGGUGGAGGUCGGGGGCCAGCAUCGCCGGAGGUUGGAGAGGCUACCUGCCCCGCCCCGCAAGAAGGAGACCGACCGCGUCCUCGCUUUCAAGCGGAGAGCUUAUGGGCUCUGCUUCCGUUGCUUGGCAGAGGACCACUUCGUCGCCGACUGUCGUCGGCCUAUCACCUGCCUGGGCUGCGGCCGCGCUGGGUAUCGCGAGCGUGGCUGUCCGGACCACCUCCCUGCCAGCCAUGGUCAUCUCCACAGCGCCCUGUUGCCGCCGGCUGCUCCUCACCUCCCCACACACCCGCCCCAAGCUCCUUCACUGCGGUUGCAGAAGCGUUCGUGGGCCUCUGUUGUUGCUGCUCCGACUAGGCUCGUCCAAGGGGUCCCUUGUAGCAAUUCCGGCGCCCCUUGUUCAGGUCUGUCCGACCCCGACGAGUCGACCUUGGCUGCUGAUUUGGGACUGCUAAAACCCCUCUUUGCAGCUCAGACCGAGGCGCUACGUGCCGAGUUGCAGGCUUUGGUUACCGCUCGUGCGGAGGAGGUUGUUCAACCCCUCCGCGACAUGGCCGUUGCUUUGCAGGGUUGGGCGGCCCAGGUCUCGGGCCUCUUGGAGCGGCUGGAGGCUAUCAGUGGCAAAUUUGUUGAUUUGCCGGCCUUCAAUCAGUCUCUUGAGGUGCGAGAGGGAGGGAAUAUGGGGAACGGUGGGGGAUCUUCUUCCUUGGCGCCUUUGGAUUUGCCUCCUCCCUGGUGCGAGCAUGAUGAGACGGCACCCUUUGUUGUUGCCGAUGGUAAGGAUGUCAGUGACGCGGGAGUGGCCGGGUGCUCGUCUGAGGUUCUGGCAACUAUGGCACUACCUGCAGAUGUUCUUCCAGUGGUGGAUGUAGUUCUACACGAGAUUGUAAUUCAAGGUGAGGAGGAGCAAGCUAAGGUUGCUGAGAUAGUCACAUCGAGCAAUAAUAUGGAGCAUAUUGAGGUGGCCUUGCCUGAUGGUUUGGUUGGCGAGGUGCCUCCCUUUGUCUCCUCUUCGGUGACGCUUGCUUCAGGGGGCACUACCAAUAUGUUGUCUUCUGGGUCCGAGGAGCCACUUGGUGAUAUUGGUGCGCCAUCUACCACCAUGUUGGAUGAGUUCCUAAGCAGUUUCAGUUGCGCGGCGCCGGGGUCCUUGCUCGAAGAACCGAUUCAUAUGCAGAUUGACGGUGCAUCUACUUGUUCCGAGAGGCGUAGUGGACGUUUGGAUAAGAAGAACAGAAACGGCAAUAUUCCUACUGCCAAGCGCGCUGAAUAUAGGUUGGCGGAGGCUUAUGGGGAACCGCCGAAGGGGAUGACAUCUAAGAAAGGCUCCGAGGAGGAUGUGCAAGAGAAGAUGAACUCUUAUCUUCGGAUGUACAAGAAACCGCUUACGCCGACGUCGAUCCAGGCAAUUCGUGCAUUGGUGGAGGCCAAUGGUUGA
rnacentral:rRNA from 1 species